GUAACCUAAUUACAUCAUUUGACGAUACAAACGAGGCAGGUCUUGAGACGCAAAAGCAUCGUCUCGGGAAUCCAUUGUGGAAGAGUUGCUCCCGUCGAUGUUCGUGGCCUUUUUCGGACGAUUGAGCUUCGAUUCACAUGAGAAAAGGAAGCCAUAACCAGACCAUCGACAAGAUGACAAAAGUUAGGUCACUGAAAAAGAAAGAAAGUGACAAAUCAUCGAAGAAGGAAACCUCAU